rnacentral:snoRNA from 1 species
AGCGAUAUGAGGAGAUUGAAACAUCUGAAAGUUUUCAUGUGGAUAACACACAUGGUCUUCAAAGUUCUCUGAUCGCU